ACUGCACCUGCCUGGUUCUUUCUUUCUAGUAUGUGAAUUAUGGGAAUUGAAUUUAAGUCAUCAGUACAUAUACAAGUGUGUUCAUCCCCUGAGCCCUCUUACUGGCUCAGUAAGUGAAUGGAAGACAAUGACGACGACAACAACAACAACAACAACAACAACAACAACAACAACCAGACUCAGAUCAGAAUUAUUAAAGAAAAGACUACAAAUACCAUAGAUAUGAAAUAGUAGUGGGGGUGUGUAGUGGGUUGGCCUGGUACUGUGUGUAUUCUGAUGCUAAUACUGGUUCCUCAAGAUCUGCUUGCCUCAGGACAAGAGAGUCCUCACAUAGACCCAAGUGACCCAUUGUGACCUUGCCCUCAGGUUAUUUCUGAUUGGUAAAUAAAGGUGUUGACAGCCAAUAGCUGGCCAGAACAGACAUAGGCGAGGCUUAGGGUUCCCUGGGCUUGGGGGUUGGAGAAAAGAAGGUACCUGGAGGAAGGGGACACCAUGGGUAGGAGGAAAGGAAGUGUGGCCUAAGGGCUGGCCAGUGGGAGUUAUGAGCAGCCCAGAUGAAACAUGAAGAACAGAGAACUUGAAGAUAAAUCAGCAACAUCUGAGUAACAUUGUAACACAGCCUUCUGUUCUGAGUUGAUAUUUGAAAAAAAGAGAAAGGAAAGAAACCAUACUUUACGGCUAUCUGCAGAAUAGCCCAUUUGAAAAUAAAACCUCCUC
rnacentral:lncRNA from 1 species